UACAGAGGUCUCAAGCGUUGUUCGGAUUCAUUGGGCGUAAAGGGUGCGUAGGCGGCGCGGUAAGUCGGGUGUGAAAUCUCGGAGCUUAACUCCGAAACUGCAUUCGAUACUGCCGUGCUUGAGGACUGGAUGAGGAGACGUGGAAAUUUACGGUGUAGCGGUGAAAUGCGUAGAUAUCGUAAGGAAGACCAGUGGCGAAAGGCGGGUCUCUGGA
rnacentral:rRNA from 1 species